GCAUAAUUCAUUUUCUUCAGUUGGUUUUAGCGCCUUAUAAUUAGUGUUGCGCUUUCCUUAAGUGUUUUACACUAAAGGUGUUAACUAUAGAGGCGAGGGGUGUAUUAAGUAUCCCACAUCGGUUAGUUAUGUAGAUAACUCUUACAAAUAUUUGGACAAACCUCCUUUGUCUAGUCUUUAAUGGUGAGUUAACUUGAUGUUUCCAUCUUAUCUCUUCCUGUGCUGCUAUUUUCACUCAUAUUUGUCCUUGAUUUCCUUUGUUUGUUUGUUUUAUUUUUUUCAAAAGCUAGCUACUUGGAGCUUCAGAGUGUAAUCUCAUCUUUUUGUUCUUUUGCUUUAAUUGGCCAAAGAAAUUAAUUGAAGA
rnacentral:misc_RNA from 1 species